rnacentral:lncRNA from 1 species
GAACACUUAGCACUGCCUGCUGUACAAAAAACUUCAAAACAGUCACAAGUACAGUCUAGAGGAUCUGAGGGUCUCCUCGUGCCUGGUUUGCAUAAAACAAGGGGCCCUUCUUGCAGUUCCUUGGAUUCAGUUUUCUGUAGACCUUGGGGACCAUGACCAUCUGGUCAGAACCUGUACUGAGCACACCCUUGGACCAAGACUCCUACCAAAGAGUACCAG